rnacentral:rRNA from 1 species
AAAUUGAAGAGUUUGAUCAUGGCUCAGAUUGAACGCUGGCGGCAGGCCUAACACAUGCAAGUCGAACGGUAACAGGAAGCAGCUUGCUGCUUUGCUGACGAGUGGCGGACGGGUGAGUAAUGUCUGGGAAACUGCCUGAUGGAGGGGGAUAACUACUGGAAACGGUGGCUAAUACCGCAUAACGUCGCAAGACCAAAGAGGGGGACCUUCGGGCCUCUUGCCAUCAGAUGUGCCCAGAUGGGAUUAGCUAGUUGGUGAGGUAACGGCUCACCAAGGCGACGAUCCCUAGCUGGUCUGAGAGGAUGACCAGCCACACUGGAACUGAGACACGGUCCAGACUCCUACGGGAGGCAGCAGUGGGGAAUAUUGCACAAUGGGCGCAAGCCUGAUGCAGCCAUGCCGCGUGUAUGAAGAAGGCCUUAGGGUUGUAAAGUACUUUCAGCGGGGAGGAAGGUGUUGCGGUUAAUAAC